GUCUUAAAGUAAUAAUUUUAAGUCUAAUCUGCCCACUGAAUUAAAUUUAAAGGGCCGCAGUAUAAUUGUGCAAAGGUAGCAUAAUAAUUAGUCUUUUAAUUGAAGACUUGAAUGAAUGAUUGGACGAAAUAUAAGCUGUUUCAGAUUUAUAUAUAAAAUUUAUUUUUUUAGUGAAAAAACUGAAAUUUAUUAAAAAGACGAGAAGACCCUAUAGAUCUUAAUAAGUUUAUAUAUAUAAACAAUAAAUUAAAUUGUAUUUAAUUAUUAUAUAUAUAUGAAUUUAUUUAAUUGGGGUGAUUUUAAAAUUUAAUUAACUUUUAUUAAAAAUUACAAUAAUUAUUGAAUAAUUUAUUAUAAUCUAUUUUUAUAAAAAAAGAUAAAGAUACCUUAGGGAUAACAGCGUAAUUUUAAUUUUAAGUUCUUAUUAAAAUUAAGUAUUGCGACCUCGAUGUUGGAUUAAAAUUUAUUUUAAAUGCAGGUGUUUAAUAAUUAGGUCUGUUCGACCUUUAAAAUUUUU
rnacentral:rRNA from 1 species